GACGAACGCUGGCGGCGUGCCUAAUACAUGCAAGUUGAGCGCUGAAGGUUGGUACUUGUACCAACUGGAUGAGCAGCGAACGGGUGAGUAACGCGUGGGUAAUCUGCCUUUGAGCGGGGGACAACAUUUGGAAACGAAUGCUAAUACCGCAUAAAAACUUUAAACACAAGUUUUAAGUUUGAAAGAUGCAAUUGCAUCACUCAAAGAUGAUCCCGCGUUGUAUUAGCUAGUUGGUGGAGUAAAAGCUCACCAAGGCGAUGAUACAUAGCCGACCUGGGAGGGUGAUCGGCCACAUUGGGAAUGGGGAACGGCCAAAACGCCUAGGGGAGGCAGCAGUAGGGAAGCUUCGGCAAGGGAGGAAAGUCUGACCGAGAAACGCCGAGGGAGUGAAGAAGGUUGUCGGGUCGUAAAACUCGGUUGGUAGAGAAGAACGUUGGUGAGAGUGGAAAGCUAAUCAAGUGACGGUAACUACCCAGAAAGGGACGGCUAACUACGUG
rnacentral:rRNA from 1 species